UGGAACUGACAGUGAUGGGAAUGUGGCAACUGAAUGUUUUCUCUCUUUCUUGGUUCCUUCCAUUUUUAUCUCAACUUUUCUAGUGUGUUGUCCCCUUUUCUAAAUGGCAUUGACAAACUCAUCAAGAUCCAGAGAUAAACAGUCCAUCGUUUAAGAAUAUUUUAUUUUGCAUGUAGAGGAAAGAAUUAACCAAAGACGUUUCUGCUCUGAUACUUUCUAAAGAAAACAGACUAAUUAUAUAUAAGUGGUAUCAAUAGGUCUGCUUAUAAGUAUUGUCCUAUGUAGAGAUUUACUUUUUGGUUUUUACAAGCAUAGUUUGCGCUUUUAGAUGUCUCUCAGGUGAAAAAUAGAAGUUGGCAGCCCUGAGCAAGCACCUGUGACACAGGGAUUUUUAUUUUAGUUUUAAAGUAUGAUACAGAGAAUGAGGUUUUUGGUUUGAUUUGGUUUGGUUGUGUUUUUUAGUUCUUUAUUUUUUAUUUGGGGGUUCUCUUAGUGAUGGCAUAUUUCAGGUUUCAGUGACAUAGAUCAAGUAAUUUUAAACCAAUUUGGUUAUUCUAUCUAAGAUGAGGGACAUGGCUAUUAAGGUCAAGCCAAACUAUACUAAAAGUAGUAUAGGGCAGCAGUUAAAAUUAUCUUUUGAAAAUCAAGUAUUACCUGGUUUCUUCUGUCACAACAGAAUAGCUGGUUACCUAGUCAGUCACAGUUGCCCUUGCCUUCCCUUGUUAGUCCCUGGAGGUACUUGAGUGGAACAGAAGGUAGAAUUAGCAACAGCUCAAUCACUUUAGGUAGCAUUUCUCCUGAAUUCUGCUGCCAAAUCCUCAGGGUCUAUGGAUUGGUUGAAAUAGUAAAAUCACACAUAGUGAUUUCUUGCACAGCGUAGAGGCGUUUAAUUUUAGUGUAUAGUGAACAAAGAAGGAAAACUGGGUCAUAUAAAAUUUAACCUUAAAACACAGAUUAUAAAUAUCUUUGAAUGUUAAGCCCUAGGCAGACAGACACUCUCAUUCUUAACUCUGGUAUGCAAGCUGGCCUUGCUGACAGUGGCAUAGUUACAUUAACUGUUUUUUAAGUUGCAUGUUGUGAUGUGAAUGUUUUUUGUAAAAGUUGCCAAGUUAAUCGAGUCCUAAAUAAGUAGCCAAAUGGUAACUGAGACCCACUGUAGACAUUACUCGCUUUAUAUUAUUUGCUUUCAAAUACUAAAACCUCAGCUGCUAAUUCAGCGCUCUAGGUGUACAGUGUCUCCUUCCCUUGGCUCCUAGCAAUGUAGGGAACUUGAGGUUCUUCAGUAUCUUCAGAGAUUCCUUCCAGGCCACAUAUUUUUAUGCUAAUACUUCUAUAGUUGCAUUCAAUCUACAAGGAGAAAGUGUACAUUGGUGCAUGUUUUAUAAACCCAGACACAGAUAGCUAAAACCAUAAUUAGUUUUUCUAUACCCAGAGCUUUGAAUUAAAAACAGAUGCUUUUUUUUUCCCCAAGAGCAGACAGUUCUACAUUCCUAACAUUAGGAAUUGGUGAUACGAGAAGCAGGAUCCAGAAUUCAGAAUGAUUUAGUGAGACUCGGUGAAAAAAAUGCAUUUUCCCCUGGCUGUUUGAAAAUUUACUUAUUUGCAGAUAAGUCUAGAUUUAGUCUUGGAGAUCAAAGUCUUUUAUAUUUUAAAAACUUAUUCUUUAUAUUGAUCAAACAUGGCAUAUGUUAGAGAACCACUUCUUCUGUCAUGUUUAUGUAUUUUGGAAUUAAGUUGUUUGCAUUCACUUUCAAAAUCUGCCCAUUUCUGUUUAUGUGCACUUACCACAGAUGUGUCGGGACU
rnacentral:lncRNA from 1 species